GAGAGCCACAUACUUUGAAAGGAGUACGUGUGGUUCGGAGGGGGGUUCACUGAAAACCUGCUUUAGAGAUAAAGUAAGGCGUUGGGUUCCUACCCUAC
rnacentral:ncRNA from 1 species